ACUGAUUAAGAAAAAAGACUGACAAAUUGAACUUCAGAUUUACUCUUUCACCAGACCAAUACCAAGACCAGCUCUGCUAGUAAGUUGGGCUGGACAGUGGGAUGCUUAUCCAUGAUGAUGAGUAUCUACUCACAAUGGACCUGCUCAUACCCAAUCACUACUCACUGUGAAGAAUUCUCCUUCUACUUUGCUGACAAGAUGGAGUGAAGUCAUUACAGUCUCUCGGGCCCAGAGGUACACAUACUUAAGCAGGAAGAAACACUCACCUCCUGUCUGAACUGGGCCUUGUCUCUUAGAAAGCAGUGAUAGAAGUGCUGAAUUAAAGCUGUACCAUCAUCCUAACUGAAGCCAAAAUAACUAGCAUAUCGAUAUAUAAAAGGUAGCUUUAAUCCACCUUUGCACUGUGCAGUUUCUGUCUGUGUCAGAGGCCAGUGGAGCCCCCGCACUGCUAUGAUGGGGUUCAUGGGGUGCAAUCUGGUCUCUGGGACUGCUGAGUCCUCUUUUCCACCAACCUGGGGUAUCCCUCUCACUCUGUGAUGCUGCUGUCUAGCUACAAAUCUCUGACAGGGGCACUACACUUACAUAGACAUAGGCAGG
rnacentral:lncRNA from 1 species